GGGGUAUAGCUCAGUUGGUAGAGCAUCUGCUUUGCACGCAGAGGGUCAGGAGUUCGAGUCCCCUUACCUCC
rnacentral:tRNA from 1 species